UGGGGAAUAUUGGACAAUGGGGGAAACCCUGAUCCAGCGACGCCGCGUGUGUGAAGAAGGCCUGCGGGUUGUAAAGCACUUUCGGUGGGAACGAAAUAUGCCGGGCUAAUACCCCGGUAGGCUGACGUUACUCAAUGAAGAAGCACCGGCUAACUCUGUGCCAGCAGCCGCGGUAAUACAGAGGGUGCGAGCGUUAAUCGGAAUUACUGGGCGUAAAGCGCACGUAGGUGGCUAUGUAAGUCGGGUGUGAAAUCCCCGGGCUCAACCUGGGAACUGCAUUCGAGACUGCAUAGCUGGAGUACGGAAGAGGAGGGCGGAAUUCCCGGUGUAGCGGUGAAAUGCGUAGAUAUCGGGAGGAACAUCAGUGGCGAAGGCGGCCCUCUGGUCCAGUACUGACACUCAAGUGCGAAAGCGUGGGGAGCAAACAGGAUUAGAUACCCAAGUAGUCCCUGAGCGGGCUGGCAAGGCGCAU
rnacentral:rRNA from 1 species